ACGCACACCACCCCUCCUCCUAUCACACCAAUCCAGGCAAAAUACUAAAGCAAUUUUUAUUUAUAUGUCUGCACACGCACAUGCACGCACGCACACACACACUCGCACGCACACAACUUUUCCUCGUACUGCCCUCCACCAAACUCGGAAACUAAACUAGGAAGCAGAGGAGUGCGGAAGCCACCAGUUCCUCAAUUAGUUUGCAUAACAGAAAAAUAAAGAUUGGAAGGACGUUUCCUCCGGUCGCCCGCAGCGGGCAACCCAAUCGCGCCACCCUUCACCUCGUGACGCCUGGGUCGUCUGGCACUACCGGCUGGUCACACCUUCCAUGGAAACCGCCGGCUCCAAACAGCCUGCGGAGAGACGCCCGGGUCCGAGCGACGCCUCCUGCCGGCCGCGGUCUGCGCAGCCACGACCUCCCGCCGCGCCCGUUCCAACGGGCUCCGCACUUCGCCGUGAGGGUGAGCAUCCCCGCCCUCACCUUGUCCUCAGGAACCCUGGCGCCCCCUCACUCCCGGCCCACCCUCCUCAGGACCCGACCUCCCCGCAGCCACUCACGGAAAGAUAAUUACUUCUGGUUGCCACAGCACAGAGGAAACAAUGACCAGCGUGACUAAGAGAGCUCCGUGAAAGACUUGAGAUUUGAAAACCAGCUUUGUCCUUUGGUAUCGCUAAGCUGAGAUCACAGGAGAACACAGCUACGUGUUCAAAUAGUGAACCAGGAGCCCCUUACCUGUAAGAUUCGUCUUUUAAUGUGGAAGCCUGCCUGCAUUUCGACCAUCUGCUUGAGUGACAGCACUUACUGCAUGGAAUUGACCUUGUGACCUGCAUGCUAUUUAGGUCAGCAUGGCCAGCGAAGACCUCUUCCUCCUCCCUGCAAAUGCUGUGACCAAAAGAAAGAAACCACCACAACAACAGGGGCCGAGGACAGAAAAGUAUGAGAAGUUGAGACGGUUGUGGGUUCGAAAAGGCCUGCCUGGGAAUCUCAGGUCAUCUGAGCCCCCAGAGGGUAUCUUCGGCUCUAACUACUAGCAACCCCGACAGAAGACUGGUCUAGCAAACUGGACCACCAGUGGUGUCUCCCUCGGCGCUUGAAAUGAGUCUCCCAGGGAAUGAGCCAAGAGACCUCCAACUAAAGACCAGCUGCACAGUUUGGGAAGUGGAGUGGACACAGCAGAUUUGUCGCUUGCACAUCCGAGCCAUGUGAAGUCUUUAAACGAGGGUACUCCCAGCUCCCACAGGCCCAGUGAGCCAAACUGUGUGAGCCAGCUGCUUUCACUUUGCUGAGAGGAAACUGCUUUUCAGUGUUCCAGUGUACUUACUUGGCCAGAUUUCCCCUGGGAUGGUAAUGAGGACAGUGAACGUUGGCUGUUCACAAACCCUACUUAUAAAUGAGCGAUUCUAAACUCUAGCCUCCAGGGCCAGACAGUCUGAGUGAAGCCUGCUGGGGAAGUCGGCAGGGAUAGCUGUCCUCUGGGGCUAGAAACUGCAGCUAAAGCAGGAAUCUGCGCCCAGUGUUGCCAGGCCUGGUUUUUCAAGGGAUGCCAGACACGCAGAUUAUAUGGGCAUUUCCCCGAUUAAGCAAAACAAAACAGAUCCAACUGAGCAGGCAGAUGGAGCCCUAAACCGUUAGGUUUUUUGAAGUCUGCAGUUCAAUCAGGUGAAGGAGCCUGGAAGGAGCCUGUCACCCUGUGACUGGCAACAGAACAUUCCCAUCCCUGUACCCCACACCACGGCUCUCUGAAAUGAACCUUUAUUCAUUUUUUUGGUUGAUUUUAUUUUGUUGUUUUGUUUUUGUGUUGGCUUUAUCCUUAGCUAGAAAUUUUGAAAAUUUUAUGAGAACAAGGACCACAUAAAGGUGAAGUAGUUGGUGCACAUGUGGAAGUGAACGAGUAGCAUUUGCAUCCUAAUGCCCUUGCAGGCAGCCUGACUCUGUUCUAAAUGCUAACAUCUGUAUGCAUGUGACUAUGGGUGGGAGCUUAUGGACAUAAACAUGCAUGAAUGUUUAUUUUUUAAUCACUGAUGAUUAGUAUCUGCUUUAAGAAUAUAUUUUUGUCCUAGAUUGGGUUUGAGUUUUGUAUUUUUUUCCCUUCAUCAUAACCAUGGGAUAGAAAGCAUCCUGUGCCCGGGGUUGCUUUGUUUUGAGUGUGGGGAAAUGGGAAUCCAUUUCAGGCUUUGAUCCCUGGACCAGAAUAUUUUCUGCCUCACACUGAGGUCACAGACAGGACAUGGGAAUAGAGCACAUGCAGAGAUCCUGCACCGGCCCACGCAAAGGCCAUCUUUCAGGGUUUCUGGCAUGACUGCUUUAUACAUACAUUAUAUAUAUAUUAUAUAUAUCAUAUAUAUAUCAUAUAUUAUAUUAAAAACUAGACAAUACCAUUUCUGCUCUGUUGUGUGUCUUGGUGCAUGGAGAAGCUGGAGAAUUAUGCUGCAAAGUUGAACUAUUAGUAAUUUUGAUGUGAUUAAAGUGGAAUUCCUUUUCUCAAAAUUUCUGUGAAUAGUGAUUAAGUUUAAUGUCUAUGAAAUACCUGGAAGAGGGACUAGAAAAAAUGGCUCAGUGGGUUCUGAGCACUUACUGCUCUUAGAGAGGACCAAGAGUUUGGUUCCCAGCAUCCAAGUUGGCCACUUACAACUGCCUGUAACUCCAGCUUCAGGGGAUCUGACACCCUUUUGUAGCCUCCAGGGACACAGACAAACAGACAGACAGACAUAAUAAAUGACCACUGGAAAAGUACCCUUCUAGAAAUCAGAAAAGAACUCAAAAGCUAGUACCUAGUAUUACUAUCACCUUAUACUAUUAAGUCAAUAGUAUACUAUUACUUCAAACUACAUUUAUGAUUUAAAUAUUGAUACUAUGAGCAAGGCUUGGGCUCAGCAGUGUCAGCAUUCCCUGUAUGCCUCUUUGAAAUGUGGGGACUCAAAGCUGCCCUAGAUGUGCUGCAUACUGUAUUACAGUACCCCUGGUUCUGCACACACCUUGCCACUGUGGAGGGAGACACACUGCUUUACAACUCUAUAACAUACACUUCGUGCUUAUGGCUUUUUAUAUUUUACAACGCCUCUAAAUAGUGAGCCAAAACUUGAAUUAUUUUGCACUAUGGAUAUAAUAUUCCAUAUAUCUAUGUUCCAUCUGCACUCUUAUUACUUGAUACACAUUUUUGAAUCAUCUUAAUUGAGAAAAAAAAGACACUUAGUCGCCUUCUAAAAGUAAGAUAUGAAGAGAUCCAUAACUCCAGUUCUAGGAGACUGGAACCCUCUUCUGACCUUUAUGUGCUUCAGGCACAUAUGUGGAACACACACACACACACACACACACACACACACACACACACACAGGCAAAACAUUGAUAGACAUAAAAACAAAAAUGAAUAAAAAUUUUGAAAAUAAAAAACUCAAUAUCAUGUGUCUUGUAAAUUUUGCCAUAUCAUUCCAUUAUCAUAGAGUUGGACAUAAAUAAGAAAUGGAAGUUUAAAAUGUGCCCCUUAUAAAUCAUUAAAGCCAUCCUUGGUAUCAUUGUGGCUCUUUGAGGCCACUCUCUUGAGAAACUCAAAUCAAAUCAGGUGGUACUGAGUGAUUUUGAGAAGUAGAAACGUGAACUGGGGUUGUAGCAGGUGAACCUAGCAGAAUGCAGUAAUAGAACAUUGCUAAGAAAGGCCUCUAGGUCCCACACCCUGGCCUUCAAAAUGAAGACUUUUUAAUCAGUCUGUGUAAUUACUAUCUGGCUUUUUAAUUUUGACCAUGAAGAUGGAGUCUACAUGAUGUCUUUGAAAAUGUUUACGAGCCUUAGGUAUGUGGCUUUCCUAGCAUAUACCUGGACCAGUUUCCAGUCUCCCUUUUACCUUUAAGUAAAAUAAAACAAAAUGUAGGUGUCGUUGCCAUGGUGAGCGUGUUGGUAGUCAGAGGGCAGCUUUCAGAGGUUGGCUUCCACCUUUUAUGACACUGAGGUGUGUCUCUCGUUUCUGCGGCUGUGCUAAUGGUGUGUUCCAGCUGGUUGGACUGAGAGCUUCUGUGUGAUUCUCCAGUCUCCGACUUCCCAUGUAACAGUGGAAGUCAGGAGACUAGAGAUGUGCACCGCUGCUUCUGCUUUCUAUGCAGUAGAUUCCAGUCAGCAAACUUGGGGCAGCGGCCUUGCUCAGCAAGUGCCUUUUUCACCAUAAGCUCUCCUUCCUUCCUUUCUUCCUUUCUUUCUUUCUUCCUUCCUUCCUUCCUUCCUCUCUUUCUUCCUUCCUUCCUUUCUUUCUUUCUUUCUUCCUUUCUUUCUUUCUUUCUUUCUUCCUUUCUUUUUUUCUUUCUAUACACCCAGCCACAUUUAGUGAACAACCAUUGCACUGCCAAACCUUGUGUUUAGCAUGGAAAAUGGGUUUUGAGGAAGACAAUGAUGUUACCCUAGCUGGGUCCUGGUCUAGUUAGCUCUUCUAAUGCAUUGAGAUAAGCAGAGUAGAAAGUCACAUGGGCAAUGACCAAGCAUUUCCCAGAACACCAUGGAAGUGCAGAGUUAAAUAUUUGACCCUCCUGUGGGAUCUAAGCAAGCCUUUUUUUUUUUUUGACAAGAGGGAUUACAUUUGAAAAGGCACCGACAAGCCUGUGGACACAAACAGGCGAAUCUCCCCGUCUUAUUCAUAAUGUGAAAUAGGAAGAUGUUUUUCUUAUUAGGUCAUUUAGAAGAUAAACACUAAGGAAUGUGUUUAUAUGUGAGAAUCAUAUGUCUACAUAUUCAGAGAUUUAGAGGGAGGCUGUGACAAGUAAUAGAUAUGAUUCUGUGCAUUCCUGGUUACAUUCCCAAAGGAAACAUAUGUAUAUGUCCACACACAAAAUUAUACACAAGUGUUCAUAGUGUUUUAUUAAUAAUAGUCAGAAUUGGAAACAUUUUCAUAUGAAUGAACAAAUAGACUAUAUUAGGCCUCCACAAUGCACCAUUAUUUGGCAAUAAAAAGAAAUGAAAUGUUAAAGUCAAAUGUGAUGGUGCCUAGCUGUAAUUCCAGUACUGAGAAGGCAGAGGCUGGAGGAUUGUUGCAAGUUCCAGGCCAAGCUUGUCUACAUAGUGAGUUUUAAGGCCACCCAGGGAUACAUAGACUCUCUUUCAAAAUAAAAAAAAAAACUAGGCAGCAAACAACCACACCCCAAACAAAAGCCAAACAUAAACAAUAAAAGAAAGGAAAUAUUACUAUAUGCUACAAUAUGGACGAACCUCGAAAUGUUAGGUCAAGUGAGUCAGCGACAACAGGUACAAUGUUGCAUGAUUCUAUACAUGUUAAAUGUCUAGAGAUUGUAACAGAUGUGAAAGCCCGUGGGCUUCUAUGAGAGGUUGGGGUGAGGAUGAGAGUGUCAGUGGUUACUAGGUUUCUUUUUCUCUACUAAGGAAAAUGUUCAAGGUUGGUUCUGAUUUCUGUGGAAAAUGUCAUUAGCCAAAGUACUGGGAAGGAAAGCGUUUAUUUCUGCUUCCAGAUUAUAGUCCAUCAUCUAAGGAAACCUAGGAAGGAACGUGAGGCAGAAACAUCAUCUUAGCUAGGGUUACUAUUGCUGCGAUGAAACCCCAUGACCAAGGGAAACUCAUGAAGCAAAGGGUUUAUUUCAUUCACAGUUCUGUAUCACAGUUCACUAUCAAAAGCAGUGACAGGAACUCAAGUGGGGCAGGAACCUGGAGGCAGGAGCUGAUGCAGAGGCCAUGGAGGGUUGCUGCUUACUGGCUUGCUCCCUAUGACUUGUUCAGCCUGCUUUCUUAUAGAACUCAAGACCUCCAGCCCAGGGAUGGCACCACCCACAUUAAUCACUAGUUAGGAUAAUGCUUUCUGGCUUGCCUACAGGCCAAACUAAUGGAGGAAUUUCCUCAACUGAGGUUCCCUCCUCUCAGUUGAUUUUAGAUUGUGACAAGUUGACAUAAAAUUAUACAGCACAAACAUGGAGGCAGGAAUUAAGCAGAGUCUGUAGGUGACUGCUGCUUGCUGGCUUGUUCAUUUGCUUUCUCACAUAGUCCAUGCCGGUAGGCCAGGGAUGGCACUACCCACUGUGGGCUGGGCUUUGCUAUAAUAAUCAACAAAAUGAUCCAUAGACAUAUCCCAGGCCAGUCUGGUGAAGGUGACUCUUCAGUUGAGGCUCUCUCUUCGCAGUUGUGUUAAGUUGACAACUGUGAAUAGUUAUCACAAAGAUUUCCUGAAACUGGGCUGCAUACAUAGCUCAGUGGCAGGACACUAACAUAAGCAUUUACCAUAUGGGCUACAUGUUUGAAAUAUAGAAAUUUUGCUUUGCAAUGCAUGGAAAUAAUCAAAGUGUGGGAUGGGGAAAGAAGUGUGUCACUUGCCCCAGCACUGCCUUGCACAAAGCCCUGGGGUGUAGAGAAAAGACAGCAAAUUAGCAAUGGCUAAUUGUAAUUCUGUAAUUUUAUGGGAUGUGGGUUAUAUUGCAACAAAGCAACUUCCACACAGCGAUGGAGAACAGUUUCAGAGCAGAAUCUAGGCAUGUUUCCAAUUAAUAAUUCCAAUUAAUUCUUAUAGUACUCAAUGAGAUAGGUACCAUGGCAGGAAGGAAUGCCCCAGUUUAAACUAACUGACUUUGGAAGCUCCCAGAGGAAACUACCCAGGCCACACAGCCAGUCGGCUGAACCCCUGGCUCUUGAACGCACACUUAAUUUUAUCCUGUGCUCUUUUGGUUACGAAACCAUUAAGAGCUUUGGUUUUCAGUUUGAGAUAAACCUGGGUUUUGAUCUUGACCCCGAUGCUUCCCAGUCAAGUGAUCCUGGGCCAACUACUGAAGUUGGUUUUCUGAUACGUCCAGCAGAGAUGAUUAUAGUGCUUAGCUCAUGGGAUUGGUGUUUUGCACUGGGACUAUCUAUAGUAAGCUGUUAUUAACUAUGAAGUUCUUUUAUGUCGUGUUAUCACUGGGUUGAGAACUGAAAAGCACUAUACAAACCAACACAGCAGGCAACCAAGUGCUGUAGCAACUUGAAGAGUCAGCUUAUUAUUUCUGUAAGGGCGGAAUUUUGUUUCCUAUAUAGAAAUGCCCCAGUCAACCAGUGCUCGGGCAUGCUACCUCUUAUAUAAUAACACAAUUCAAAGUACAAAAAGAGUCAAAGUUUUAAAUGAGGAUAAAAGUAUUUAGCACGUGGGCUCCAUGUUUGAAAUGUGGGAAUUUGGCUUUGCAAUGCAUGAAAAUAAGCUAAGUGUGGGAUGGGAAAGAAAUGUGUCACUUGCCCAGUACUGGCCUGCCAGGGCAGGGUGACCUCACACGAGAAGAAAAAGGCCAGUCAUUUCCAAACUAAUCUAAUUUUAAAUUUUUCGAUUUUUCAAGUCUUUGUGUAGAGACAUAUUUAUUCUUUGAAGAAGGAAAAACAAGACAAAACAAAGCCCAGCACCAUCAGUGCUAAGGGAAACCAUGUCAGUUCUGCUGGCGGAUGCCGACUGCUCCCUGCCACUGGAGCUCAUUUGGAAGGUAGGGAAGUUAGUCAAAGCCAUUGUGGUUCUCUGGCUGCCCGGUGGUUUCUUUGAACACAGUUUGUGACUAGAAUUUAUUUUUUAUGUUUUAUUUUGGGCUUGGCACAGAUUGCUGGGGUGUGAUUCAGCUCCGUCUCUCAUCUCUGAUUACUUUCCUGCUAACUCAAUGAACCUGCUCUGGGGUUUCUAUACAGUGGGGAACCCACCACACCAUUGGUUUGCCCGAUCAGAUCAUCUUUGAUUCCUCCUCUUCUCUCCCACAGCCAGUCGGUGGGAGCCCUCUGUAGGCUUCCUCUGAAUUGCCUUUAGUCUCCUUGCUUCUCUUAAAUCCUUUACCACAGACCAAGUUGCCUCCUCUAUCGCCUGCUGGGGCCAAUACCACAGCCUUCUAAAUGUUCUCUUGGUUUCUGUCCUGUUCCACACAGCCAGUUCUCCAAAGAGCAACUUGAGGGAGAUUUGUUUAAAUGGCUAAUCAUUUCAGUCACCUUCCUAAAGGCUGACUUUAGGUUUUUUAAAAAACAAACAAACAAACAAACAAACAAACAAAAAACAAAACAAAAACCCAAACACAAUUAAUUAGAAGUUUCUCAAAGGGUCAAUGGUUAUUAAUCAUCAGGGAAGAUGAAAUGGAAGCUACAAUGAGAUUCUGCUAUGCAUCACAAAAUGGCUCAAGCGUGACCAGUACUAUAUAGUGUGAGGAAGUGGAUGAGCUAGAAUUUCUAUACGGUGCCAAUGGAUGGCAAUCCAUCAUGAGUCUGGAAAGUUGGUUAGCAGUAUAUCUCAGUGUGUUCUUUCUGUCUUAGUCACUGUUUACUGCUGUGAAGACACACCAUGACCAAGGAAACAUGUAGAAGAAAGCACUUUAUUAGGGGCUUGCUUACGGUUUCAGAGGGUAGUCUAUGACCAUCAUGGCGGGGAGCAUGGCAGCAGAGAGGAGCUUCAGCUGAGCUUACACCUUUACUAUGAGCAGCAGGGAGAGAGAGACCAGGCUGGUGUGGCCUUUUGAAACCUCAAGUGCACUCCAGUCACACCUUCUCCAGCAAUGCUACACAUCCUAAUCCUUCCUAAAUAGUUCACUGGAAAUUAAGCAAAUAUAUAGGCCUUUGAAGAUGAUUCCCAGGCAAACCACUGAUUAAAAAAAAAUCCAUACCUAGAUAGAUACCCAGAGUAGAUGGCUCCUUGUAUCCAUGUGAAGAUGUUGAAGUAUUUACUGCUGUAGUUGCCAGAAUGAAUCUUAGGCCUCCCAGGCUUAAAACUGAGGUGAGCUGAAGUCUCAUGCAAUCACCAGGUUUAUUCCAAGCAUCAGACCAUUUAUACUCUGAGGGUUAAGAGGAGUCACCUGAGUGAAGUGUACAAUCAUAAGGACAAGCCUCCUGGGGCACGGCAUGCUUUCCCACAGAGGUAUAUGCAUAUCAACAGCUGAAGUAAACUCACUCUUACUCACUACCCCUGGGAGGAGCAUGCCAACACAUCCCAGAACAAUUCUGUAUUACGGAGGAGCAGAGGUCGCAGAACUGCUCCAUUUUUGGACUGUGUUCCGACCGACACUGAAGAAUAUUCCCACUCGUCUGGGGGACAGUUGAGUGCUGAAGUGUAGGAUCAGCCCUCGGGAGACCCUGGAAUCAAUGUCUGAGUCGGGUCAUGGUCCGUUUUCCUUUGCUUAUGCCUAACUACUCUUCGCAGUCUUUUAGGACAAAUAAUUUCAUUUUAUUAUUUUGUGUAUGUGGCUAUUUUACCCAAGUGUACAUGUAUUGUGUGGGUGCAGGGUGCAGGGAGGCUAGAAGAGGGUGUCAGAUCUUCUGGGACUGGAGUUACAGACAGUUGUCAGCUGCCGUGUGGGUGGCAGGGAUCGAACCUGAGUCCUCUGGGAGAGCAGGCAGUGCUUUUAACAACUGACCUCUUUCAUUACUACAUUUGGGUCCUUCACAACCUCUUCCACCAUUUGAAAAUUUGUUAUUUCCUUAUUACUAAGCGAUUUCCUGACCUCCACCUCCACAAAUAUCAGUCUCAUUAGAUAGAUCAGAGGAGUUUUUUAGUGUUAGUCACUGUACCUGCAGCACUCAGAACAUGGCAACCAGAGGAUUUAGAUACUCGUUACAUAAGGUUGGUAGCUCAACAGUAGAGCACUUUUCCAGCAUGGGAGGCCCCAGGUUCAAUUCCAACCGUGCAAAAACAAAAGUCACAACAAACCACAACCAGGUAUUUCUUCUAUAAAUUGAUAUUACCUUCAAGUAUUUAAUGGAAGUUAUACAUUUGAGUGUUUAUAAGUUAGGAUGGUGUUCAAAGUAUCUCAAAUGGAAACACAGUUAUCACGGUGCAACUAUCUUUCUGGGCAGGUGUAUUUACCAUUCAUCCACAGAUUCUUCCUUUAUUUACUCCAUAAACAAGCAAAUACUACAAGCAGAAAAUUUAUAAGUUAGCAAAUAAUGUCUAGGGAUACCAUGAGGGCUGAUUGAAAAUACAGGAGACAAAACUGUAAUGACCGAUGGUAUCACAAAGCUGGCUAGAGCAGAGAAGGGGUCUUGCUCCCUGUGAGACUGAGAGAGGAGUGUGGAGGGAGUGCAGGCGACUAUGGACUAGCAAACGGAAAGAGCUCUGCUGCAUGGCUUCUACUGCCGUUAAAUCAGAGUCAGGAUCACGUGCUGAAGAGGAGAGAGGCACAAAUACUCGAGGAAACUGAGGAAUCCCACUGUUUACUCACUCUCAGUAAUGUAGGGCUCAACUUCCUCAGCAUGUGAGCAGCUGCCGGUCCGCCUGGGCUUUCAACUGCAGACCUUGCAUUGACAGUUACAUUACAUUGCAGGCAGUGAGGGGCCCGGGCUUGUAGGCUGUGAAUAAACUGUAAGUAGAAUGGGAGCCUGGUGGAAUCUGAGAGAGGAGAGGAGUGAGUGCCAAGAGUCUUUGCUCUUCAUGCCUCUCUCCUCUUCAGCAUGGAUCCUGCCUCCUGAUUUAGAGGCAGUAGAAGCCAUCCAGGAGAGCCCUAAACUUUUCCAUUUGCUCACCCUUAAAGUCACCUGCACUCCCCGCCUUUCUCAGUCCCACACACAGGAUAAGACAGAUGGGAUAAAGUUGUCGUUACAUUGUUAGCGUGCAUCAUAGAUGGCCUUGAACAACAACUGGCAACCAUGAUGGGUGUGUUUUGUCUGCUUUAUGCCAUGGCUCUUUCCUUCUUUUCUUCCUUUCCCAGGUCUUUUUGUUCUAGCUCCACCCCCCACACCUUUUUCUUCUCCCUUCUCUUUCUUCUCUCUCUCUCUCUCUCUCUCUCUCUCUCUCUCUCUCUCUCUCUCUCCCACUCCAUUCCUCCCUUCUCUCCCUCCCUCUUCCCUCCCUCCUCCCCCUUCCUCCCUUAUCCCUCCCUCACUCACCCCUCUCUUACACACGCAUGCACACACAUGCGCGCGCACGCACACACACACACGCAUGCAUACACGCAUACACAUUAUCCCUUCUCUGUUCAAAUUACAUGAUCCUAAAGAUACCAUCAGUGCCAGUAUCCUCCUUCCUGAGGAUAGAGGCGAGUUCUGACUCUAGAUCUCGCACUGGCCAAUCCAACGAGCAUCAUCAUCCAGUGAGCUCAAGUCAACCCAGCCCAAAGUCUCUUCUGAAGAUUUUUGCAAUUUAGGGCUGGCUUACAAAGUCAUCCCUCACCUCCACACCAGAGGAUGCCUAGCAAAGCCAAAUCUCAAGGAUGUACAGACCCCACCCUUGCCAGAAUCAAACUGUUCUUUUGUUGUUGUUGGUUCUGUGUGGCCCUGGCUGUCCUGGAACUCACUCUGUAGACCAGACUGCCCUCAAACUUAGAGCUCUGCCUGCCUCUGCCUCUCGAGUGCUGGGAUUAAAAGCAUGCACCCACCACUAGCCAGAUAGCCUGGCCUUAACAACUCAUGUAUACCUGUUUUGGUCUUCAUUUCUUUUCUUCCUCUUCCUUGCUUCCUUUGCCCAUUCCGGUCAUUAUGUAAUGUUCCCCUGGCUUGAAAUGUCUUUUUUACUUAGCCAUUAAGAUUAUUUACAGAAUGCCAGAUCCUGCGGUUAGAAUGUGGUGGCAGAGUGCUCGCCAGCUUCAGCGAAUGGUAUUAAAAAGACGUGGAGGCGAGAAAGUACACACCAUGUUUAAGGAUUAACAAAUAAUCUUAUUUGGCUGGAGCUGAGGAAGAGUGGGAACAGAAAUAACUACAAACCGAUCUCAUGGUGCGCUAAUGGUGGGGCACACGAAAUGAAAAGUGGUACGUGGAUUUGUACUGGACACAUUGCUUUAAAAAAAUAAAAAAUAAAAAAUAAAAAGGACGGCAACGUGAACUGAAUCACAGAGCAGCCAUGUGGCAACUCCAGUGUGCUGUUCUCAAAGCAAUUAGGUGCUUCAGAAAGAAUGAGCACACCUCCAGCCUUCUGCAUUAUCAGCACAGAACUGAAUGUGAAGGAACCAUGGGCAGCCAUCUCAAGGAAGAUGUGAGGAUGUGGAUAGCUGGCCACAGACAGAUUGAGUUGUACACAGUUGUUGAGCCUCGGGUUUAUGGGUUUGGUGCAGUGGCUGCAGUGGCUGCAGUGGCUGCAGUGGCUGCAGUGGCUGCAGUGGGUGCUUCUUCCCUAUUCCUUUGGCUUUUGGAGAAGAGCUUUCCCUCGUUGGUAGUCCCAGCUUUCACAGGAAUAUGAUCUCUUGUCAAGAAUGUACCGCAGUCAAUGAGGCAGAGCAUCAUGAAGAGAUUGAAGUGGAAGUGAGUGGCUUUGUGUUUAGAAUAGACUAGAUCUGAACCAAUACUCUGACCUCAAUGAUAAAGGAUGAUAAAGGAUGCCUCAUAAAAGGCCAGAGGCAAAUAGUGUGGCUUUGUAACCAGGUACUAGUGAAAGAGGCAGAGGGUGCUUUCUAAGCUUAAAGGUGUUGGAAGAAAAGUUUAAAGGUAGAAUGUAUUUGACAUUAAAAACUACAAAUUUCUUUAGAUAUCGUGUUGCCUGGAUCAAAUUUGAAAUAAACUUAGGAAAAAAAACUGCACUAAUAUGAAAUGCAGUCAAUACUUAUACAAGCAGCUUAUGGAAGAGAAAUUAAAUUUAAAAAAAGUGGCAGAAUAAAAUUUCUGAGCAACUACAUUAGGUCAGCUUGUGUUGGAUCCUUUUCAGACAUUCAGCUAAAAGAAACUUACAAGGUGGAUAGACUUCUGGUAGACCCAGGGGAAGCUGAGAGUCAGGAGUGUAUAUGUGAGUUGAGUAAGACAUCCCUUCCAGCACCACCUUAGCCAAAGAAAUUUCUGAACCUGUUUCCUCUUCCAGACACUUCCGCCAUUCUCUGCUGGCCAAUACUCGGGGGAAUCUGAUCCCUUUUAGGGCAGCAGGUAAGUCCCAAGUAGCGUGUGACAUGCUCUCCAUGUGGGAUCCAUGGUGUGGUUGCAGUGAUUGGUUUAGGAUGCACACAUGUUAAAGUCCAGCUACUGCAGUGAGAGAAAAAUGGUCUCAGGGGCUUUGGGGACAUGAUUUCUCCUGAUUAGAGAGCACCCUGCCCUUUCCUUUUACUUAUGGCAAGAUCUCAAUAUGUAGUCGAGAGUGGCUUUUAACUCAUUGUAUUGUUCAGGGUAGCCUCAAAGUCAUAACCCUUCUGCCUGUGACUUCUGAGGGCUGCAAUUACAUGAACACCUCACCCUGACCUGCAGCUAGUGCCUUUCUUGCCUAUUCAUGCUUUUGUCACCCAAAAGAGUGAUUGACAUCUCCCAAUUACAUAGAUUAGUGUAGAACCAAGAGCCCUCAAAAACAAAACAAAACAAAACAAAAACCAA